GCUACAUAUAGAAAUUUAAUCAUUCUCACUGUUAUCAGCAAAAAGUCCUAGCAAAUCAAUGAAACAUCUAAAUGCCACUGUGCUCAGAGGUUUGAUUAAUCCAUCUGCUAUCAUAUCCUCAGUGAGAACAUGUUUAAUAGAAAUAACACCUUCAUUCAAUUGUGUGUGAGAAUAGUGGAAUCUGAAGUAGAUUUGCAUUUGUCAUUCAACAGUUCUGCUCAAUCUGAAUCUGUAUAAUCUAUCAGCAGAUAUAACACAUUGAGAAAUUCAUUGAUUUUGUUCUUGAGACUUUUAUAUAAGAUGCCA
rnacentral:sRNA from 1 species